AAGCAGUGAUGCAGAGCAAAUCCCCAAAAGCAGUCUUAGUUCGGAUUGUAGGCUGCAACUCGCCUACAUGAAGUCGGAAUUGCUAGUAAUCGCGGAUCAGCAUGCCGCGGUGAAUACGUUCCCGGGCCUUGUACACACCGCCCGCCACACCAUGGGAGUCGGUAACACCCGAAGCCUGUAGUCUAACCGCAAGGAGGACGCAGUCGAAGGUGGGAUUGAUGACUGGGGUGAAGUCGUAACAAGGUAGC
rnacentral:rRNA from 1 species